rnacentral:hammerhead_ribozyme from 1 species
AUCCAACUGAGGAGUCCCAGGUGAGACGAAACGUGCAUCCUGGAU